rnacentral:misc_RNA from 1 species
GCCAAGGAUAGCAGCACCCAUUCAGUCAUCGGCGGUCCCAGACCUCCAGUAAUGCUUCCGAGCCCGUGCCGCCCCUUCUACCGGCCGGUACCGCCGGUUUCGCUCAUUACCUGCCGCGUAUCUCCAGGCGUACCGCGCGCCUCUCCUCCUCCUCCUCCUCCUGCUCCUGUUCUUCCACCACCCGCUCCGCUAGCGAGCCUCAACACAACCACCGUUCCCGCGCUAACGUGCGCCCUCCAGUGCGUUCACUUCCAAUCGUGCUCUGGGUGCACGCAAGAGUUCAAUCUCCACCGUCCAGUCAUCGUUGACGAGGCUGCUGAGUUUUUUAAGAGCCUUGGUAUUUCGGACUUCACUUUUGAUAGCUCUAGAUUGUGGGGAUGGAGGUGUCGCGCAAAACUGGCUGUUCGCGGUUCCUCAAAGAACCCUCUGAUUGGACUCUAUGAGGAGGGCACUCAUAAUGUAGUAGACAUUCCCCAUUGCAAAGCUCACCACCCAAGUAUUAAUCUUGCUGUUCAAUUACUGAGACAAGGUGUUACUGAAUUGAAUGUUGAGCCAUAUGAUGAAGAUCAGGGGACAGGUGAUUUACGAUAUGUCCAGAUGGCUGUCACAACUUACAACACUUCUCUUCCUGCCUCAGAAAGAUACAAAAAUGGUAAGGUACAAGUUGCUUUAGUUUGGAAUUCAAGAAAUGAGAACUCUCCUAAUUUUGACAAAUUAAAUGCCUUGGCUAAUUACUUGUGGAGAAAUGGCGGACGAAGGAGUGAUGUCUAUUUCAUUCACUCUGUAUGGGCAAACUUUCAGACAUCUACUAACAACAUUAUUUUUGGGAAUAGGUGGAGGCACCUUUUAGGAGACAGAGACUUCUGGGAACAUCUCGGAGGAAUUGAUAUAUCCUUGGCCCCAUCCAGUUUUGGACAAGCAAAUACACGGGCUUUUGAUGCUUUGCUGCGAAAAUUACAAAAAUAUGUAUCUCUUGGAGCAUCUGUUGCUGAUUUGUAUGCAGGGGCUGGUGUGAUUGGGUUAUCAUUGGCUGCCACUAGGAAAUGCAGAUCUGUUAAAUGCAUUGAGGUUAACAAAGAGUCAAAACUAUCUUUUGAGAGGACAGUUGAACGCCUCCCAAAGUCCAUAGAUACCAGCAUCAGUUGGCAUCAUGCAGACGCGUCAGUUGAACCUCUUUCUUGGAUCAUGGGCUCUGAAGUAGUUGUUGUGGAUCCUCCUAGAAAGGGACUGGACUCGUCUCUUGUUGAUGUGUUACGGACUAUUUCAUCGUUAGAACAUAAAGCCAAGUCAUCAUCUGAAUGCAGUAACUCAAAUAUCAAGGAUGAAAAAAGACCAUGGAUUUUACGUGCAAGGGAAGCCUUGGUGGAAAUCAGAGGGAAAGCUACUUUGAAGGACCCUCAAUCACUA